rnacentral:snRNA from 1 species
GGAUGUGAGGGCGAUCUGGCUGCGACAUCUGUCACCCCAAUGAUCGUCAAGGUUGAUUCGGCUGAUCUGGCUGGCUAGGCGGGUGUCGCUUUCCUCUCUUACGGCUCUACGUACGUACUCCCGAAGCUGCGCGCUGGGUCGAGGAGGACGACCUUCCCCGAUAGAGGGUAUACGAGUCAAGGGUAUACGAGUAGCUGUGCUCCCCUGCUAGAACCUCCAAACAAGCUCUCAAGAAUUUCUAACAGAAAAACAUUUCCUCAAAGUGGCUUUCGAAUGAAAACAAAUACUUCAUGGGUAUUAAAAAAAACUCU